rnacentral:rRNA from 1 species
CCUACGGGAGGCAGCAGUGAGGAAUAUUGGUCAAUGGGCGGGAGCCUGAACCAGCCAAGCCGCGUGAAGGAAGAAGGCGCCAAGCGUCGUAAACCUCUUUUGUCGGGGAACAAAGGGCGCCACGUGUGGCGUUGUGAGUGUACCCGAAGAAAAAGCAUCCGCUAACUCCGUGCCAGCAGCCGCGGUAAUACGGAGGAUGCGAGCGUUAUCCGGAUUUAUUGGGGUUAAAGGGUGCGCAGGCGGUCUGUUAAGUUAGCGGUAAAAGCCCGGGGCUAAACCCCGGCCCGCCGUUGAAACUGGCAGUCUCGAGUGGGAGAGAAGUAUGCGGAAUGCGCGGUGUAGCGGUGAAAUGCAUAGAUAUCGCGCAGAACUCCGAUUGCGAAGGCAGCAUGCCGGCUCCACACUGACGCUGAGGCACGAAAGCGUGGGUAUCGAACAGGAUUAGAUACCCUUGUAGUC